CACGGCCACUGUUUUCGUGAGUCUAGCAGUCUCCCAAGCGAUUCCAUAAACCCAAUGCUACCAUUCAAUCUCAAUUUAUUCAUGACUGAUCGAGCUGGGAAUAUGCAGAGUUUAAUAGCCAAUGGUUAAUUAGUCAUCAAUCCCUGUGGUACUCACUUUAUCCUAACUAUUUUUCAAUAAUAAAAUCGCCUUUGAGGGAAGCCAUUGCUUGUCAAAACUGACAACUGAAAUUCAAUAUUCUCGAAAGUAUAUGGACAGCUAUAAAUAGAUAAUGGUGUUUACGGAAAUUUUGAAGUAAAAAACCGAAUGACACGACAGAUGUCCUACUUGAUUGGUGGAGGAAUUGGUGGGGUGGGAUGGAAAAAUCUACAGCAGAUUGAAUUUUUUGGAGAUUGUGGAUACGAGAAAAAAAUCUUGUCAAGACGUUUUUCGUGAAGAACAAUUAGAGCUGCAAAGAAAGUCCUUAUGAAACUGAACUGAUGAUAUGUUAAGUUACUAAGGAAUGUAAUUUAGUAUAAAUGAAAGAUAAAUCACUUGACUUUUCACCAUGAUUUUAUUAAAAGACUCGUAAAUACUAUUUCGUACAUCAUUCAGGAAUAAAAAAACUAAUUGUUAAAAAUAAUUCUAUCACGUUAGAACAAAAUUCGUUGUUGUAGGAAUGUUUCGUAAUUAAAACCACAAGUACACACAAUUUCCUCUCACUCUCUUCCGGUACAUCAAUACAAAAAGGUAAUACACGUAUGAAAAAUGCCAUAGAAAAGCUCAAUGAAUUGGUUAGAUAAUUUUCCUGGAUAUCUCUAAAAAUGUUAUGCAAUAUCAUUAAAAGUCCAAGGAAUCUUCGUGGAAAUUCGGUUGGCCUUUGCCCUCAUUCUACAAGAAGAAUCGAGGGGAACAUUUGAAUAGAUUUACAUUUUCUAUAUCAAUAUGGUCUGGAAAUUUGAUCCUUUGAAAAAUUUAAAUCCAGCAGCUUUUUCUUAAUAUUCAGAGAAUUUAAUCUGCUUUUGAGAGAAUCCCUAAAGGACUCCUAACGAUUUUAUUCACGCGUGUGCUUAAAAAUACAAUAUUUCUGUGUAAAAAUACAUAUAAAAAAUUUUAUCACCAGUGUUUCAAGAGUCGAUUGCACGAAGUAGUAAGAUAUUUCCCCCAGGGCAUGAAACACCACAUAAUUUUCAUGGGAAAAUUUUCGCAGAAUUGCCCUCAAGUAAUACUAUCUCACUUUCAGAUAAGUGUGGAAAUACACGUAGUAUUGCACGCGAGGAACCAUCAAGAGCAUAAUUUGUGCAAUAGAUAAAAUUAAUGAAUAGAAUUUUCUAUAAAAAUAGGCAUUUAAUAACUGCUUCGAAAAAAUACUUCGGAUCUGGUACUACAAUUAGAAAUAAUCUAACUAUUAUUAUACAUAAAAUUAUCAUUCUCUCCCGGACAUUCAUGAUCUCACAUCAAUUGACAGAUGACACAUAUGAAUCUUGUUGAAAAUUCUAGUGGAUUUUUUAUUGAAUUUCCUACUAGUUUUACUGUUAAGUCGAUUCAAAAAUGAAGAAAUUUUCCAUUCAUUAUUCACCCUGAUUAAAAAUCCGCACUUUGCGUGUUUUUUUCAAUAGAAUCAGUCAAUGAAAAAUAUUGUACAGAAAAAAAUCUGUAGUGGAAAAUUCUUGUAGAAACAGCCCUAUUAGAAAAUAUCAAUAUAAAACCCGACUAUUUUAUAUGAAGAAUGAGAAAUUUUUCAAUGGAAUGGAUCAGAACGAAAUUGAAUUUUCACCGCACUCAGCAAAAAAAUUAUUUAUGCCAAUUCUCUAAGCCAGUUAUUCCCAGGUUCUUCACAUCCGCCGAAAAUAUUAUAAUUAUGUUGAAUUAUGGAAUGAUUACGCUACAUAACGCUACAUAAGUCCUUGAAUAAAUUUACUCUUUAACGUUACAAAUGCUUGAUAAAAAAAUUGUAUCACAAAUUCCUUGUUAUGACAGAGUUUUGAGUCAUUCGUUACGAAUAACACACGUGUACUAAGUUAAUUCAAUUGACUUGACAAUCUGGGAAUUCCUCUCCUAGAGAAAUAUGCUCUUACAAAAAAUUCUCCCCCAAAGGAAAUAAUUUUUUGGCAAAAGUAAUUAUUGUCUCAAAAAAUUCUACCGAUUCAUGGGAGCCAGCUCAUGCUGUCCAUUUGUACUCAUAUUUUUAGCUCCAAUUUGAGCGAACGUUGACUGUCUCCACCUUCCAUUCUCCCCAUUCAAGUUCUGAUCCUCGCAAACGCACAAAAACAAUGUGUCAAUGACCAUCUCGAACAGAGAAAUGACGCAGUGAGCGAUAAAAAAGGAAAACAAACAGACCACAAAAA